GACGGAUCCCGACCGGAUCCCCGGACGAGGGUUCAGUACCCGGUGAGCGACAAGACUGGCCAU
rfam:Microbacterium chocolatum strain SIT 101 genomic scaffold Scaffold4, whole genome shotgun sequence.